rnacentral:rRNA from 1 species
UGGGGAAUAUUGGACAAUGGGCGAAAGCCUGAUCCAGCAAUGCCGCGUGAGUGAUGAAGGCCUUAGGGUUGUAAAGCUCUUUUACCAGGGAUGAUAAUGACAGUACCUGGAGAAUAAGCUCCGGCUAACUCCGUGCCAGCAGCCGCGGUAAUACGGAGGGAGCUAGCGUUGUUCGGAAUUACUGGGCGUAAAGCGCACGUAGGCGGUUAUUCAAGUCAGAGGUGAAAGCCCGGGGCUCAACCCCGGAACUGCCUUUGAAACUAGGUAACUAGAAUCUUGGAGAGGUCAGUGGAAUUCCGAGUGUAGAGGUGAAAUUCGUAGAUAUUCGGAAGAACACCAGUGGCGAAGGCGACUGACUGGACAAGUAUUGACGCUGAGGUGCGAAAGCGUGGGGAGCAAACAGGAUUAGAUACCCCUGUAGUCC